GCCAGCUGCUAAACUCUCCCAGGAUGCUCCCAAGGCACCUGCGGUAUAGUGGUGAACGCAGAGAAUCUUGCCCAUCCCAGAUGUAGAAAAUAAUGUGUAGCAUCUCUGAUCUUGAGGAAUGUUGGAAGACAAAGUUAAAGAUUUCUCACAGUCUUUAGAUUCACAAGGUUCUUCUCCAGUGUGCUUGCUUUUAUGUCUAUGUGGGUUUGAAGAGUCAACAGAGACAUCCUACAUUACAGCAUCUGUAGUUAUAAGAGGUUUCUGUAGUAUCACUUCUAUUAUAAAGUGCACAGCUGGAAGGGUUCAUGAAACAUUUCACUAAGCUCAUUACACCGACAAGACUCCUUUUCAGUCUUUACAUGUUGAGGAACAUGUAAACAUCAUGUGUACAGUUCUUUGAAAACCAAAUCAGAUUAAUAGGGUUUGUUCCAAAAUUAAACAUUUGAUAAAUGGUUGUCUCCAUAGGUUCUUUCUUACAAUAAGUCAACCAUCAACUACUUAGAUGUGUUUCUUUUACUCUAAUCUUAUGUAUUCCCACGACAAUGGCCUGACAGCCUUCAAAGGUCUGUGAUUUACAAUAGCUAUCCCAUCAUUGUAGAAAAUGUAUUAAUAGCUCGAGAUGGACCAAUUAAUUGAGGAGCUAGUAACUGGUUUUGGGGUGGAGCUCAAUGGCUGAUUGUACUUAGAAUACAUGUUUCUAUUCAGAAACUGGUGACAAAUUUAAUGAAAUCCCAGGUUCACAGUGUUUCUACUCAAUAAUACACAGUAACAAAGAUUACUGUCCAAGAAACCUAAAUCUUUCUAAUACUUACUUAAAAGCAUCAAUGCAUUUGUCUGUUUGGUUUUUUUUUUUCUUUUAAAAACACACUAUAUUAUUGAAAAGUAUUGGAAGGAAAGCAAGUAUUUUUCAGACAUCAGAGACUUUCGAAUAUAGAGCCUAGAUCAUUUGAGAGAGCGCUGUCAGGUGCAGCGAUUGCUUAUUUCUUUCCUAUACUGUCUGAAUUACAUACAUUGCCACAUAUCUUUAUUUUCCUUAUAUGAUUAUUUUUCAAGCUUACUCUGUAUAAUAAUUCUUGAGAUUAUUUUCCAGAAGGGUGUUGGUGUAUUCCCCACUAGGAAGAAAAUGAAGGAUGUAAUAUUAAGUCAUGCAUGCAAAGUAAAUUAUGAGGCUGGAGAGAUGGCUCAGUAGUUAAGAGCACUGACUUCUCUUCCAAAGGUCCUGAGUUCAAUUCUCAGCAACUACAUGGUGACUUACAACCAUCUGUAAUGGGAUAUGAUGCCUUCUUAUAUGUCUGAAGACAGCUAUAAUGUACUCAUAUACAUAAUGAAGAAAGGAAGGUAAUUACAGAAUGUUACUUCAUGGCUUCAUGUCAAACUCAUAAUUUUGUAAAUUAUUCCAAUCUGAUAUCAUCAUAAUCAAGGAAAAUUCCAUUUUGUACUAGUAUUAAGUUGAUAAUUCAGGUGCAAUAAGGCACAAUAUCUUCAACUUGUUACAACAGGCAGGAUACACCCUGGAGGCACAAUAUUAAGCUAAAUGAUUGGGAAUCAUUUCAGGUGGAAUUCAAUGUAGCAAACAUAUUUUCAGCUCUUGGUUUCUCCUUCACCUGAAACCUUUACUGUUGUCCCACUCAUUCACUAGCUCACCCUCGCUGUGAGCCAGAUGAGGCUACUCUCUCUCCUCUCUACAUUCCAUGGUAAACUGAAUUGGUCCAGACAGGUAACCAGGUCUACCUUGUAUAUAAAAAUCCACAUAUAUUCUGUGACCCAUGCAAUGAUUUUUUUAGAAAGAAUACAGGUGUCCAACACAACACUAUGCUCAGUACAUGAAGACAACACAAAGUAGAGACAUCUAGGAAUGAUUUCCCAAUUCAUUUCCUGUCAGAAUCUUAAGCUUUCUUGGGUAGUCUUUUCAGUGUUUAUAUGGUGAAUUUUUCUUCUCACAAUUAAAAUCAGGUAAUUACAAUUAUGGACAUGGAGCUGUAAAACAUGGGGUUAAAUAUUAUAUGAUAGUAUGUUUCUUAAUGCAUUGUGAAAACCAAAUGAAGGUUGCAUGACGCCUCUAGAAUGGGAAAUGGAAUGAAUAAAUCAUAUACCAUU
ensembl:lincRNA